AGCGAACGCUGGCGGCAGGCCUAACACAUGCAAGUCGAACGGACCCUUCGGGGUUAGUGGCGGACGGGUGAGUAACACGUGGGAACGUGCCUUUAGGUUCGGAAUAGCUCCUGGAAACGGGUGGUAAUGCCGAAUGUGCCCUUCGGGGGAAAGAUUUAUCGCCUUUAGAGCAGCCCGCGUCUGAUUAGCUAGUUGGUGAGGUAAUGGCUCACCAAGGCGACGAUCAGUAGCUGGUCUGAGAGGAUGACCAGCCACAUUGGGACUGAGACACGGCCCAAACUCCUACGGGAGGCAGCAGUGGGGAAUCUUGCGCAAUGGGCGAAAGCCUGACGCAGCCAUGCCGCGUGGAUGAUGAAGGUCUUAGGAUUGUAAAAUCCUUUCACCGGUGAAGAUAAUGACUGUAGCCGGAGAAGAAGCCCUGGCUAACUUCGUGCCAGCCGCCGCCGUAACAC
rnacentral:rRNA from 1 species